GAAACGGGCCCGCCGCUGCCCCGGCCGCGCGCCCGUCUGCGGGGGUGGCCCCGCCCCUUCCGCAGGGGGCUGUGGGCAGGGCCCGGGUUCGCGGUCACGGUUUCGGAGUGUGCCUUAUUUUAGGAGCACUGCAUUUUCCUGUAAUUCCUGACUGUAUUGAAGAGGCAACUGUGGCUUUUUUUCAUCAGUUUUGCGGUGUGCUGUGUGCUGUAAAUAAUUGUUGCUGCAGCCUCUGACUCUGGAAUCGGCAUGAAGCAGAUGAAGAGGAACCUGAUGACUUCAGGAACACAUCAGUUAUCAGUUUGUUGUGUUUUUUUGUGAAGGAUGGAUUCAGAGACCUGGCCCUCUGAAAGCUAAGUAGAGGGACAGGCACUGGAGGUGGACCAAGGUUGACGGUUUCAGGGAGGAGUUUUCAAGUCAGGGUAGAGCAGAGGGCUGUGCGGGAGCAGUCUUCUCUGAGUAGGUAACGGGAGCGGGUUCCUCUUCAGCACAAAGCUAGCGUGUGCUGGGCAGGGCAGUUCUGGCCUCUGUCUGCUGUCGUGUAGUUUGUGUGCUCCGUCUUCUGUGUCUUGGACUUUCCUUAGGUUUUGAUGUCCUUGUUGCUCUUUGCACUCAAGGAGCACAACGUGUGCCUCGGGCAGCCCCUGUAGGGUCUCAAAUGCCUGUGCUAAUUGGCAGAGCGCCCAAUGGGCACUUCUUUUCUUGCAUAACAAUUUUAAAGUGCCGAUCGGGCUUGCCUCUCAUAAGUUUCUGGACAGUCCUCUUCUGCAGCAUCGUUCGCAGCUGCACGAGCAGCUCUGUUCUCUGAGCUCUAGCAGCUCUAGCCACCUACUUUUACGCACUGGGAUUUCUUCCCUGCAUCCUUACGUUCUCAGGUCUUGAAGCCAGGCUUCCUGCACAUAUGUCAUCUCCAUUUUGACAGGAACUUCUUGGAAUGGGCUGUUGCAUUUGACUGUUUUAUGGCUUGGCCGUAGAACCUGCUCAUGUCAGUGCUGCAGCCCUGUCGGUCUUCUUGCCCGAGAGCGUCUCUUGUCUGAAAGUUGUUCUUUUUGUGGAGAGUUUUCUCUCAUUUUGGAGUCACGUUGUCUCUAGUGCUGUGUGGUGUUGGGCUGCACGUGGGUGUGUUUGGUGUGGAGCUGCCCUGCCUGGGGGGGCAGAGUCAGGGGUAGGGGGAACACCAAUAAGAGUCUAUGGGCCAAGACUGCCAGCAGAUCCAGAGAGGUGAUUCUGCCCCUCUACUCUGCUCUCGUGAGACCCCACGUGAAGUACUGAGUCCAGCUCUGGAGUCCUCAGCACAAGAAGGACAUGGACCUGUUGGAGCGGGUCCAGAGGAGGGACACGAAGAUGAUGAGAGGGCUGGAGCACCUCUGCUAUGAGGACAGGCUGAGAGAGUUGGGGUUGUUCAGCCUGGAGAAGAGAAGGCUCCCGGAAGACCUUUUAGUGGCCUUCCAGUACCUGAAGGGGGCUACAGGAAAGCUGGGGAGGGACUGGCUGCAAGGGCAUGUCCAUGACAGGACAAGGGGCAAUGGUUUUAAACUAGAGCAGGGUGGGUUUAGAUUAGACACUAGGAUGAAGUUCUUCACACUGAGGGUGGUGAGACACUGGAACAGGGUGCCCAGAGUGGUGGUGGAUGCCCCAUCCCUGGAGACAUUCAAGGCCAGGCUUGAUGAGGCUCUGAAUGACCUGAUCUAGUUGAAGAUGUCCCUGCUCACUGCAGAGGGGCUGGACUAGAUGACCUUUAAAGGUCCCUUCCAGCCCAACACAUUCUGUGAUUCUGUGGUAAAGAUCUGUGAACCACUAUAAUCCUAACAUUUCUGCAGCUUUACCUGAUAAAGAAGUUCCAGUAGAAAAAAAUGCUGUGGUAAUUCAUAAAGGUAACUUUCUACUAUCAUUAUAUUUUCUAUUGCUGAAAAGAUGUAUGUCAUUUAGAAAUGCUGCUCUCAAAAGAGAAAGGUAGCUUCAGAUUUUUUUUAUUUUCAUCGUUUCUUUAGAUAUUUCUAUAAAAAGAGUUCAUUAUCAUUUUCCUUUCAUGAACAGAAUUCAAAAUGCUGAUGCUACCAACUUUCAGCUUUUUAGAAAUAAACAAUUCAUGUUCAUACAAUGCAGUCCUUGAUGUAGAAAGUGCAAACAUUUAUAGAUAUGUGGUGGCUUGUUAUUUGAAAGGAUAUUUUAAAAAAUUUAUUAGGGAGAUUCACUGAAUUCUCUCAGGACCAAGUUUGACCCAUGGAAAAAUGUCACAACAGAAAAUAAAUACUUCCUGGUUAUGGUGUGCUUUUACCACUGUGAGCACUAAACUCAGCUCACUUUAGAUGGGAAAUAUCAGCCUGAUGUCGUACAAACUUUCCGUUAGGACAGAACAGUUGAAGAAACUCUUAAACAACUUCUUCCAGGUCGGUUAGCACACAGAGCAAGCAUGACAAAUGCAAAGGGAAUAUGUCCAAACCCACCUAUGCCACAAAAAGCUUUUGCUACUUCAUAGCCAUCAAUUUUCAGCUCAAGUUAGGAUAUACGUAUGUCUGUGCGCAGAUUUUUGCAUGUAUGUCAGUCCUGGAGGGUGAAAGAAGGCUUGGAUUUUAUUCAGGUGAAAGGCAAAAUGAACGUCUCUGGAAAAUGUUAAAACCAUGAGGUUUGCGCUUGCCUAAGAGAAGCCAGCGACUCAGCACUAACAAAGCCAACACAAAAGAGCACCCCUCUAUAAUCAGAAUUUAGCACAGGCAAUGUAGUGUGCAAGGAACUGCAGCUGUUUUUCUAAGUUUUAAUCUCCAUCCCUGAGCUACUGUUGUAUAAAAAGACAAUAAAAAUGACCUUCCCUAGUUUCUGCUUCUCAGUAUUGAAGGUAAAAAAUGACAAAGCAAACAAAACAAGUGGUUAGAAAUCCUACUGUCGAGUCCGAUAGAGCUAUGGCAUUUGAUACCUUUACUGGAAUCUGAUUCAGAAAAUACAGCUGCAGAGAACUAGGAAGCAUGAACAGUUAGGAGAUACCAUAUAGUAUUAGGAAGGAAAAAGUAGGUUUCUUAAAAUUUUUAUCUUUUCUUGGGUGGGGCAUAAGCAAUACUUCUGUAGUCACAUAUUGCCGAGAUACGUGAUGAUGAAGGUUAGGCUACUACUACCAGUAGAAAUCACAAGGAUUAAGGCUUGAAGGACUGUGGACUGCGGCAAUAUGAUCAGUGCCUAGUGGAUGGUGAUAAAAUGCUGCAAAUUACUCUGUAUGAGAUUUCGAAUGGCUUUCUCCAAGUACUCAAAAGUUCAGACCUGGCAGUUGAGUGCGUGUAGCAGAUGUGUGACGGCUCCUGUGAUUGGAGACCAGUAUGGGGAUAAACAGCCUGACAUAAGAUGAGCAGCAGUGGAUUCAAACGGCAUUCAUGGCAGCUAGAAGUCUGUGAAUGACUUGAGAGAUUUGCAUGUAAACCUGCUCUACAGCCCAAAUAGUGUUUGAAGCACAAGGCAUUCUCUCAAUGUGUUCAGCUGUGGAAAACAGAAGCUAUUGCAUUACUAGAUUUGCUGUAAAGAACACCGACAUCCAUGCUGGAGCGAAGAUAAUAAAAAUAAGUUAUUGUAAAAGAUACGGUAGAUUUCAUUGACUUAAAACCUAGUAAUUGGCAUUCUUAUAUAAUGGUAAUUAAAAAGCACUAUAAAGAAUAAGAUUGGAUUCAAAGACCACAAACAAGGCUAACUGUGUGAGGAAAAAAAAUGUCCUGCAAAGGAAAUAUACCACAUAAAUGUAAAGAACAGAAAAUUUCGUUAUUUAGUAUACAAUCCUGGAGAACACACAGCAUAAGCAGAGCUUUUUGAAAGCUACAGCAAUUUGAAACUACACCCUGGAGAAAUCCCAGCGAUUAAAAAAAUCUAUACACAGGUCCAAGAUACGAGAUUGAAAAGUGUAUUUAUACCUUCUGCUUUUCCCACUUGUUCAACAAGGAAAGUCAAAAGCAUGGAAAACUAUGUGGCUUACUUCAUAUGAAGAUUUAUGUACAUCUUCUUGAUCUUAGCACACUGUUUUUUCACUGUCCCGGUUCCUCUGCAUGGUCACACUAUUAAUGAAUAUGUAACUUUGAGCUCUGCAGCUUUUCUGCCAUCUUCAGAGGUCUUUGAAGUGAGCCCUUCUGGGCAUUCCCAAAGGACUUGGGCACUCCCAAGUCCUUUUCAUAUCUGUAUGUGAAGAUACUUUAUCUCCCUUUUGUUGUUGUUCUAAUCUGGUCUGUUAUUCACACAGAACCUUUGUCUGCUCUUGUGCCCAAGAGGUGGCAGAUGAAUGUAAUUUUUCUGCAGCCCCCACUUUCACCCAUCCCUACUAUCUCUUUAAGACCUUAAGGAUUUUUUACUUAAUCCUCUUUUCAUGUAUUGUGGAUCAUUAUCUUGACUUCAUCCCAUUAAUUGCCACCAUACAUCUUUAUUGAACUGAAAAUUAAACGUAUCUGAAAAUGAAACGUAGAAAAACAUUGUGGGCCUGUUCACAAACAUACUCAGUUAAAUGUAAACUUUCAGUUUCAUUUUCAUUCAUUUGGAUUUAGAAUUAUAGGUGAUCGCUUCCCUUUGAAAUGGCUUUUCAACUAAAAAAAGGAGUUAGGCUUCCUGAAAAGGUUAUAAUAUUAUUUUCUGGAUCAGUCCUGAAGUUCUUUGUUCCAGUAAAUCCCUGGAUGCUGAAUAACUAAAGGAGCUUUUGAUUAGUUCUCUGAAACCAAUGGUAUUAAAUCAAUUGCUACAAGAAUAAAUUUAGGCUGAGCAUUAAUAAUAUGGGAAGCCGGAUGGCAUAAUGAGGGAGCACCGACCUGGGAUUUGGGAGGUCUGGACUGCAUUCUUGGCUCAGCCAAGAACUUGCUGGGCGACCUCAGGAAAGUCAUUUUAGUUACUUUUGCCUUUGUAAAAAGUUCCAUGUGUAAAGUGCUUUGAACUCUUCUGAUGUCAAGUGUUAUAACACCACCGUAUAUUUUGUAACCAUGUAGGUGAAAUCUAGGAAAUGUCAAGCAGGAUGAAAGUGGUGAGGGCCUGUGGUUAAGGAACCUUUUAUGGAAACUGCUCGAGACUCCUGUCAAAUCUGUAUGUCUGUAACAAUCUCAUGCGAGAAUUGGAAGGAAUAUGAAGAGGCCCAGAGGUUUUUUGUCUGUCUUACAAACAGACCCUUAUGCUGACAAGAGUGGUUUAAUAAUGAUAUAUUGUACAAUGUAAGAUAAAACUAGAUGUGUCAAGUGCGAUUCAGCAGGAGUUUAUCCUGGUUAUUGUAGUAGACAGCCUUUUCAUUAAGGCACAAAAUGAGACACGAGGAAGGAAUAUAGAGAGUAUCAAUGAUGAUGGAGAGUGAUGAGCUACUGUUUUAGAUAGCAAUUUUAUGGAUAGGUACCUCUGAGAAAGCUAACCUCCUUCAUACCAUUAUUUUUUUUUUCUG